CUAUCCCUUGUAGAUGACAAAAUGCAACAACACAGAGUAUCUGCACAAUGAUCGUUUUCGAUUCUUGUUCUUGAUAUCUUCCUCCUCUGCAGUUCUCCGCCUUCACACAAUCUGAUACCAGAUUCAGAAAAAGGGUUGAUAUUAACUUGAUUGAGCUAUCAGAAAAUGCAGGGCUAUUGGCAAAAACAGAUAUCUACAAGCACAUACUCCAUAACUAUGUAAAUGUUAUUGGCAUCUUCAAAUGCACCGUGGAAAUGGACCAGAUUCUUGUGCCCGGACAAUGCUUUCAGUAUCUUUACCUCCCGGCGAACAUCUUCGAUUGCAAUGGUCGAUGUCAUCUGCCAAACCAAAUAAGUCCGAGCAGCGAGUUGGCAUCAAAAUAAUAUUGAGCUGAAGAAAUGAGUAUUGAACUAGACGAACCUUAGAUUUAGAGAUGAUUUUGACGGCCACAGGCUUUCCUUUGAGGUCGCCUUUUUUACCCUUAGCCC